rnacentral:rRNA from 1 species
GGGUCAGUAGGUUGGUCGUGCCACCGGUACGUACUGGUCUCACUGAUUCCUCCUUCCUGAAGAACCGUAAUGCCAUUAAUUUGGUGUUGCGGGGAAACAGGACUGUUACUUUGAAAAAAUUAGAGUGUUUAAAGCAAGCUAACGCUUGAAUACAUUAGCAUGGAAUAACGAAAUAGGACGAUCGAUCCUAUUUUGCUGGUUUCUAGGAUUGACGUA